AGAGUUUGAUCCUGGCUCAGGACGAACGCUGGCGGCGUGCUUAACACAUGCAAGUCGAACGGAAAGGCCCUGCUUUUGUGGGGUGCUCGAGUGGCGAACGGGUGAGUAACACGUGAGUAACCUGCCCUUGACUUUGGGAUAACUUCAGGAAACUGGGGCUAAUACCGGAUAGGAGCUCCUGCUGCAUGGUGGGGGUUGGAAAGUUUCGGCGGUUGGGGAUGGACUCGCGGCUUAUCAGCUUGUUGGUGGGGUAGUGGCUUACCAAGGCUUUGACGGGUAGCCGGCCUGAGAGGGUGACCGGCCACAUUGGGACUGAGAUACGGCCCAGACUCCUACGGGAGGCAGCAGUGGGGAAUACUGCACAAUGGGCGGAAGCCUGAUGCAGCAACGCCGCGUGCGGGAUGACGGCCUUCGGGUUGUAAACCGCUUUCGCCUGUGACGAAGCGUGAGUGACGGUAAUGGGUAAAGAAGCACCGGCUAACUACGUG
rnacentral:rRNA from 1 species